rnacentral:misc_RNA from 1 species
GAUGAAGAACGCAGCGAAAUGCGAUAAGUAAUGUGAAUUGCAGAAUUCAGUGAAUCAUCGAAUCUUUGAACGCACAUUGCGCCCACCAGUAUUCUGGCGGGCACGCCUGUUCGAGCGUCAUUUCAACCAUCAAGCCCCCGGCUUGUGUUGGGGAUCUGCGGCUGCCGCUGGCCCUGAAAACCAGUGGCGGGCUCGCUAGUCACUCCGAGCGUAGUAAUACAUCUCGCUCAGGGCGUGCUGCGGGUUCCGGCCGUUAAAAAGCCUUAUUUACCCAAGGUUGACCUCGGAUCAGGUAGGAAGACCCGCUGAACUUAAGCAUAUCAAUAAGCGGAGGA